UUUUUUUUUUUUUUUUUUUUCCCUUCAUGUGUCUUUCUGCCUUUUCUAGGGCUGCUUCCUGCAACACAUGGCGGUUCCCAGGCUAGGGGUCCAAUCGGAGCUGUAGCUGCCAGCCUACAGCAAUGCUCACAGCAACGCUGGAUCCUUAACCCACCGAGCGAGGCCAGGGAUCCAAUCCGCAGCCUCAUGGUUCCUAGUGGGAUUCAUUAACCACUGCACCAUGACGGGAACUCCACCCAGAUCUUGACUGAGAUCCUGGGAGUCGGGUGGAAACUCCGUACAGCUUAUAGGCCACAACGUUCAGGGAAAGGUGAGCGCGUGAACCGGACCCUUAAAACCACUCUAGCUAAGUGGUGCCAGGAGACUCAGCUACCACGGGUAGAUGUCCUGCCCUUAGCCUUACUCCGAGCCCAAGGCGCUGCCCCAGAUCCACGGGCUACACCCCGUUUGAAACUCUGUAUGGAAGGCCCCCUCCUGUAAUAGCGAAGUUGAAGGGGGAUCCCAGGCAGAAAGCCGACGUGGAGCUAUCCCGACACCUCCGGGCCGUGGGGAAAGUCCUCCAUUGCAUCACCCGGGAGACCCUGGAGAGGCUCCUGUUCCCUUAGGCAGCUGGAUCCACCCCCACCAGCCUGGGGACAUGCUGUGGGUGAAGGACUGGACAAAGGAGCUCUCCUCCAGCUGCGGUCAAAAUUGCAGGUGUCCGUGGCUCCAUCACACCAGAAUAAAGAAGGCUGCUCCCACCGCUGACACAGAUGCCUGGGACACUGCCUGGCACAGUGAGAACCCCCUCAAGGUCAAGAUAUGUAGGCGCCCACCAUCGGAAAACAAUGAGCCCUGCUCUGCCCACACCUGGAAGCUCGUUGAACUGUGCCCUGGAAGCCAGAGGAUCUCCAUGCAAACUUGAACUGACGGGGACUGUUGGUAAUUGCCAUUGCCAUUGCCAUAGCCCUCGUGUUUGGAGUGGGGCUCUGUGCCGUAACCCCCUCGGGAUGGGGACAGGGAGCCCAGCUGCCUGUCUGUGCAGUGUGUCUCCUGACGGGCAGUGUGCUAGGAUCCCUGCUCCUACCAGGUCAGCGAGCAAAAUCAAGGGACUCACAGUCCUGUGAACACUCGCCCUGCUGCUCACUCCAGGGGCGACAGGCUGGAACAGGGCUGACUCAUGCCAGGCUGCCUGGAAACCACUACCCGGCUGGCUACCGGGAAUAGAUUUCAAGUUCGAAGAGUUACAUGAGGGGCCUCCGCCGCCCCCCUGAUAAAGCUACCGGGCUGAAACUCAGCCCUCCGAGCCAAGGCCCCGGCCUGGGCCAGGUGCUGAAUGCGAGGGACUGCUGGCUCUGGCUGCCCAUCCAGAAGCCCCAGCCUACUGCUGUCCCGAUGAGCGUCCUCAGUGCCGCCAGGGAAGGCAAAGCCAGUUGGAUCCAAGAACCUAGGCCGAUAGGUGUAUGCAUGCCUCUCAGGGCCCUGAGGUGCCUUCAGAGCCUUGGGAAAGUGGUUCAGGUGGGUAACCUGCCGGCGAAGGAGCAGUGUGACAGUGUCACCAAUGUCAAGGACUUAGACCCCUCCUUGAUCCCUUGGUGCAGACCCCAGACAGGCCUCUUAUUUGUGUGCGGAAAUCACACCUACCAGAGGCUCCCUGCUAACUGGACACGGCCUGCACACCACACUAGCCUUUGUCACUCCUCAAAUACAUACUGUCCCUGGUAAUCAGUCUCUUAUGGUGCCCGUGGAGGCACAUGGCAGAACCAAGAGAGCAGCACAAGUUAUCCGCUUAUUAGUUGGUCUGGGAAUUUCAGCAGGGGUGGGAGCGGGAGGAUGGCGUCCAUUGCCUGUGAUCAUCCGUUAUCUACAGGAUUCACAGAUGACAAGGAACAAGUAGCCCCUGCCCUAGUGGCCUUACAGGACCAGGUGGGCUCUGGCAGAAGUAGCCCUCCAGCACAGGAGAGGAUUGGACUUCCUGCUGAGACGGGGGCGCUUGGCCUGCUCCUCAGUGAAGGAUGUUGUGUUUACACACACAGGUCGGGAGUACUCAGAAUAGGGCCUAACACUUAAAAGAACACACAGCGAAGUGAAGAGACGAAUUGGCUGACUCCUGGUUAAGUUGGGGUAACUACUGGAGCCGGGCAUCAUGGCUCGUGGCUUUCGCUGGGCCGCUCCUGCUCUUCGUGCCCUCUCAUUUGGACCCUGUAUCCGGAGCUGUAGGGUCAAGUUUGUCUCCUCACGCCUAGAGUCCAGAAUCUAACAAGUUACACAUGGUGGUGACAUCUGGGCCGCCCUUAUAUCAGCCCCUGGGCCAAGAAGAUCAUAAAGGUUGAUGCCUUUUAGGAAUUUCAAAGAGCAUGGUGGGAGGUGGAUGUAGGGGAGAGGUCUCCUAAGAUAAAGGCCAGACGACAAAGCAGAAUCCAGCUAAGUAACUACCCCCUCCCCACAACUCCACUUCUGUAAACUUGCUUCUGCAUCAGCUACCUUGCCUGUCCUUACUCUGGUCUGUCCUUCCAAGCAUGGGCCCAGAAGAGCUAACCCAUGAAAGCCUUGUCAAACUCAUCUCUGGGGCUCAGACUCCGGAGUGGGAGCUCCUCAGAGCCCACCAGCAUCAUAAACCCGAGUUCUCCAACUCUCCGAGUGCCAGCUUGGUUUCUUGCCGGUACAAGACCCGCUAGAGCUGAUAGGCUGUGGCCCCGGGGCUGCUGGGCACCUGCCGUGACAGAAGUAGAGGCAGGUCUCGGGAUGCUAAGGAAGAGGUGGGAGUGAAUUACUGAUUUGUUUCUGAGAAGCAGUUUCAAGAGAAAGCACAUGGGGGCCUUUGUUCGCCUUUGGGAAUCAUUCUGACACGGCCCCUCAAAUGUCAGAGUUUUGUGAUGCCUCUGAACAUCGGAAUUCUGUUAAACUUUAGUUUGGGGCUAAUCGGACAUUUGGGGAUCCGUUUCUUGCCUCUGGAGCAGUGCCAUGCCCCUGCCGAGGAGACACAGCCUAGGAGCAGGUGGCGGAGUCCCAUCUCCCUGCUUCAACGUAGCAAGAGGCCCUCUGGCUGAGUCUCUCCCUUCCGUCGGCGAUCUAGAAAGCCGGUGGCUUUAUCCUAACUGCUGCCAGGUCACCAGUGGAAGGACGUUUGUCGCCCGUUGGUUGAUGAGGCUGUCUGCCUGCUUUGUGUUCCUAGUCUAACUCAUCUCCACAUGUCUUUCCCCUUUGAUUUGGUUAAAAAAAAAAAAAAAAAUGGUUGCAGUUAAGGAUCUCCGGUCAUCGCUUAGGCUGCUUGCAUUUUCGGCUUCUUUCGUCCUUAUUUCCCCCAAGAGGUUCUUCUAAGAAUUUUGCAGCUUAGCUUGCACUGCUCUGGGUGAGCAGUCAGUGCUGGAAAUCUGCAAAACCAGGGAAGAGGAGUCUUCACUGGGUUCUCGCCAUGUAACGGGGUGGUUGUUAUUUUCUUUCUAGGGUCACACCUGCGGCAUAUGGAGGUUCCCAGGCUAGGGGUCAAAUAGGAGCUACAGCUGCCAGCCUACACCCCAGCCACAGCAUCGCAGAUCCCUGACCCACUGAGCAAGGCCAGGGAUCGAAGCCACAACCUCAUGGCUCCUAGUCGGAUUCCUCUCCCCUGCAGGAACUCCCAUGGAAUAGGUUUGAGGACAGCCCCAUGUAGACCCGUGACGCCGGAUGCGAGGACAUCUUGGUGUCGCCAUCGGGAAGGCUGUGGGCGGUUGUACCUCCUGCUGGAGUCUGUGUUCCAGUCUGAGAGCUGCUAGCUUGGCCUCUGUCCCUGAAGGUGAGUGUCCUGGGGACCUGGGUGCAGAGGGCCCGGGGCUCCCGUGAUGACCAGCACUGGGCUCUGAUCACCCCUGAGGACACAGUGCACCCCAGGACCUUUGACACCUGAGGAUCUGAGGGGCCCUGAUUUUGCUGUUCUCUGGACCACAGACAAUGCCUUUCCCCACCCUCACCAGGCCCUUCCUGCCUCACAGGUGUGUCUUCCAGCCAAGGGGCCGCCCCCCAUCCCCCACCUUGGUAAGCACCCCGAUCUCAAACAUCUCACCUUCAUGUGGGGUGACCUUCCAGCCAGGAUCUCUGGGGCCUCAUGUAUAUGCCAGCAGGCAUGUCAACCCUAGCUCUGCUCCACUUGGGCCUGGAAGUGUUGGUCGUGGGACUGAGAAGCCCCAAGCCUCUACCCAGGAGGGUGGGGAGUAGUGCUGUUUCUCGCCUUCGAAGGGGAGGGUUGCAUCCAAGGUCCCGGGGGGCUGGGGGCGUCUCUGGGGAAGGGCGGGGGAGGGAAGGUGCCUGUUGGGCAGGGGAUGUGAGAGGAAGCGUUGCCAGGCCGGGGCAGCACCCUGAGGACCGUGUCCAGGCCCUUCCUGAGGCGGAGCUAGCAGGCUGUGCUGUCCUGUCGGGGUGCGGCGAGGGCCCUCCCAGAACCAAGGGGAGGCAGCGCAGCGUGACCAGCAGCCUGACAGCAUCAGGGUCCACGUGCAACUUGGUGACAAAGACCAUCCUGCUGGGAUGUACAGAAUGUAUGUUGUUAUCUUACAAGGGGGACAAAGGGGCCGAAGUGCCACGGGAGAUAACGGAGGGCGUGUGGGACCGCGCCCCGCCGCCGUCAGGGCUCAGCCUUUGGAUGAGACUCCGCUGAGCCGGGGCCGGCCCGAGUAAAUGCUGCUUCCUGGCCUGACGCCUCGGGGUCCCGUCUCUCCGUACCUAAGUCCUGCAAGAGGGGUUGGGGGGCGGGGGUUGAGGGCCCCGGACCCCGGUGAUGUCCAGCACUGGGCUCUGAUCUCCCUUGAGGACGCAGUGCCCCCCGGGACCUUUGACACCUGGGGGUCUGAGGGGUCCCGGCUCCGGGGAGGGAAGGAUGGGGGUCCCGUGGUUGCCGUGCACCCCACCGACCUCCCUCCUGCUCCCUCACCCCUUCCUGUCAGCAGGGGGUUCUUCCAGGAGUCCAUCAGCCUGGCCGUCCUCUCUGUGAGCUCAGAAGAGACUGCCCCCGAGAUCGAUGCCAUGGUGUGUGUCUAGAUUCUGAUGCUGUGAGUGUAAUGAAGCCAGAUCAGAGAGCCUGUUCUCAGCUAGGCGGCCGUUCCUCCAGAAGUUUGGCAGCCCCACCAGCCCCCUCGCUCCCGGGGGGGGCCUUGCCCCUCCAGCCUCCGCGCUGCUCUCCGCACAGAGCUGCCGUGGCCGUGGCUGAGCGAGCCCUGGGUGGGGCGAGCAACCUCUUCGACACACACAGCGCUCCUGGCCAUGGCGCAGCGCUUCCGGCAGAACCGCAGUGAACUCAUGACCACCUGGACCUGUGGGUCUAUGACGGGGGGAGGGGGGGCCCAGCCCUGUCCCUGGAUUCCGGGGAGCAGAUGCUGCGGGCGACCUGACCGGCGACACUGUCUUCAGCUACUGCUGCAAGGCUCUGCAAGACGCUGCUGGCCUGGCGCCAGCGCUGGAAGUCCUUCCUGCACUUGGAGACCACUGAGCCGCCCUCUGGCCCUGGAUCGCCAUGGAGGAGGGCUUCCAACUGGUGUGUGAGCUGGGCACGCUGGACUGGAUCUACCACGAGCCAAGCCCAAGUGCCUGGCUCCCAAAGACAUGCCUGUGGCGGUGCCUACUGACGGCCGCGCCCUCGGAGCUGUCCCUCUCCCUGGUCAGCCUGCUGGUCAAGGGCAUGACGGUGCUGAAGAUCCAGACCAUGGCCGCCAAGCUCCUGCUGGGGCCCAACCCGAUGAACACAAAUCGUGGGCUGGCUGCUGAGCCGCGGUGUGUCCAGGGAGCGGGUGGACCGGUGAACCACCAGGGUCCUCCUGGAGCUGCCCAUCAAAGGGGCCAAGCACAGCCGGGGCUGAGGCCCCCCACGUGCUGGUGGAGGAGCAGCCCCUGCCUCCCCGGUCCUCUGACCAGGCCUGCAGGGAGGAGCUGCAGUGCACCAGGACUACGCACCCCACAAUCCAGGCCACUUUCUGCUUGGUGCUGGGAGUGGAGCAGGGGCCCAUGUCGGAGAGACACAAAGUCUUGGCCAAAGCGCCUCCUGAUCGUCCCCAGGAUAGACAGAGGGACAGCACCCCCAGCUCCAGCCAUCUCCUGCCAGGCCAGACCCUGACCACGCAUCCUGAAAACCUCGGAGAGGGUCCUUGCCCCCGCCGCCGUGGGCAUCACUGGCCUGAGCUGGUGGAGAGCAGCCAGUUGGCUGGCGUUGCUGGUUGAGGGGAGAGAGUCCGUUAAAUAUUUCAGUCUGUUACACCUUAGCCUGAUAAGCGGGGUGGGUGGGCACCCACCGUUGUGCCACACGGGCCCCCAACGCACUACAGGCCAAGCUUGAGACCCCGCAUCCCACCCCGCAAAAGCACCUUCAAGUUUGUGCCCUUGCCCUUGAGGUUUUUUCUUUAACGCGGUGGCUGUACCUGAUACUUGACUUUAGGCGUGUGCGGCGCUUGGGUUUAGUGUCCUCACUACUGCUUUUGUGAUGGUUUUUCUCUAAGUUGUUUUUUUUGUUUGUUUUUUUUGCAAUGCCCUUUUCUUGAAAUGGAAUUUUUUUGCCUUUUGCUUUCCUGGGAAAAGGGCAGCCAGUCCCUUCCAGUUUCUCUCGCUGCACGCGUGGCUGGAGUGUCUGCAUCACCAGAGUUCCAGCAUUGUGAGGAUGGACAGCCGUGGCAGGUGGUGCCGGACACCAUUAAAGAGCCCAUGUGCUG
rnacentral:lncRNA from 1 species